GUUGAACGCUGGCGGCGUGCCUAAUACAUGCAAGUCGAGCGAACAGACGAGGAGCUUGCUCCUCUUCCGUUAGCGGCGGACGGGUGAUUAACACGUGGAUACCCUAUCUAUAAGACUGGGAUAACUUCGGGAACCCGGAGCUCAUACCGGAUCAUAUAUUGAACCGCAUGGUUCAUUAGUGAACGACGGUUUUGCUGUCCCUUAUAGGUGGAUCCGCGCCGCAUUAGCUAGUUUGUAAGGUAACGGCUUACCAAGGCAACGAUGCGUAGCCGACCUGAGAGGAUGAUCGGCCACACUGGAACUGAGACACGGUCCAGACUCCUACGGGAGGCAGCAGUAGGGAAUCUUCCGCAAUGGGCGAAAGCUUGACGGAGCAACGCCGCGUGAGUGAUGAAGGUCUUCGGAUCGUAAAACUCUGUUAUUAGGGAAGAACAAAUGUGUAAGUAACUAUGCACGUCUUGACGGUACCUAAUCAGAAAGCCACGGCUAACUACGUG
rnacentral:rRNA from 1 species